rnacentral:rRNA from 1 species
AUUGAACGCUGGCGGCAUGCUUUACACAUGCAAGUCGAACGGUAACAGGCCUUCGGGUGCUGACGAGUGGCGAACGGGUGAGUAAUGCAUCGGAACGUGCCCAGAGGUGGGGGAUAACGCAGCGAAAGCUGUGCUAAUACCGCAUGUGAUCUGAGGAUGAAAGCGGGGGACCAGGCAGCAAUGUUUGGCCUCGCGCCUUUGGAGCGGCCGAUGUCAGAUUAGGUAGUUGGUGGGGUAAAGGCCUACCAAGCCGACGAUCUGUAGCUGGUCUGAGAGGACGACCAGCGACACUGGGACUGAGACACGGCCCAGACUCCUGCGGGAGGCAGCAGUGGGGAAUUUUGGACAAUGGGCGCAAGCCUGAUCCAGCAAUGCCGCGUGCGGGAAGAAGGCCUUCGGGUUGUAAACCGCUUUUGUACGGAACGAAAAGGCUCUGGCUAAUACCUGGGGCUGAUGACGGUACCGUAAGAAUAAGCACCGGCUAACUACGUG